ensembl:lncRNA
CAGAAGUGUUGAAACUCUGUAGAAUUCAGGGGAAGUCUGGGCUGGGUCAGAGCCUGUGUAUUUAUCCCUCUGGGAGUUUCCAGCUUUGUGUGGGCUCAAUGUCAACAAUUUUUAUCCGAGAAACUCUAGAGCUGGUCAAGGGCCAAAGUUCUCUUUACCCAGCCCAGGUUAUUGGCAAGAAAACUCAAAGCUUACGUUUUUAUGAAAGAAAGAGAUUUGAUUGUCAGGAGAGGAGAAGGCCAACGUUUGUCUGAUGCCAGGGCCUCUGCAUGUUUAUUGCCGUUAAUACUUGAAACGUUCAAAGCACAAAGGAAACUGGCCAUUCAGGAGACUCCUGUAAUGAUUUGAAGUUUGAAGACCCUGGUCUGUGUUUGCUUGUCUGCCUACUAUGUGUCAGACACGGAGACUAUGAAAUUCAACGGAGAAGUGAUAGAAUUGAUUUAAAAAUGCAAUGAAUGCAUAGUCAUAAACCAUGGAUGGAGGCAGCAUCCACCAAAGUCAGCUCCUCCCACUGGCAAGAAACUCAGCAGAACCUGCACAUGCCCUUUGAAGAAGAAACCUUGAUCAGUCCCCCAGGUGUGAGUUCAUUUCAGUUCAGUCACUCAGUUGUGUCUGACUCUGCGACCCCAAGAAUCUCAGCACGCCAGGCCUCCCUGUCCAUCACCAACUCCCGGAGUUACUCAGACUCACAUCCAUCGAGUCAGUGA